rnacentral:lncRNA from 1 species
AAAGGCAGGGGAAACGUGAUAUGUCAGUAUGAAACCAAAGGGCAAUUAAGGGUGGGCCUGUGUACAUAAUUUAAUAAAUUUUUCUUGGCUUUCAAGAACUUCAGUCAUUGCCAUGUCAAUUCAGAAAGAGAAGAAAAAUACAAAUGAAGAAAACUUACUAUGAAAAGUUUGCCAAUUACAAUUCUCUUUGAUUGAACAGCAAGACUGAACUGAUAAGGAUGUAAGCAGAAACCAAAUUUAUUCUUUUCUGCUAGUCCUUGUUAAAACCUAACCCUAAGUAAAUACACUUAUUUUGCCAAAUAAUCUUUUUUUUCCUUUUGCCCCUGGGUGAAAUCAGGUGUAUCACAAAGUGUUUAUAAACUUUAUUUUGGAAAAAAAUUUCCAAAAUUUCUCUAUUUCCUUCUAGACUCAAAAAUGGUUUUAUUCAGGUUAUGAUGUCCCUAACAGGGAAUUAAUCACAUGAUUUCUUGGGUGGGCUUCAGAAAAGCUGGGAGAAGUGAUAGUUUUUAGUCUGUUUCAUUCCUUUCUUCCUUCCCUACACUUCUUCUUUUUUUUUUUUUUUUUAAGAUUAUUUAUUUAUUUAUUCAUGAGACACAGGCAGAAAUAUAGGCAGAGAGAGAAGCAGGUUCCCCACAGGGAGCUCUGAUGCAGGACUUAAUCCCAGGACCCUAGGAUCACGCCCUGAGCCUAAGGCAGAUGCUAAACUGCUGAGUCACCCAGGUGUCCUGUCUUCCUUCCCUACACUUCUCUGCAAGGAGAGGCAUUUAGGGGAAAGAGGCUCAAGCUUAGGUGGGAGUCACAGUUAAAAUCUGUCCUUGGUUUUCUCUUAGCUGGAACAUGUACAGACAAGCUCAUGAGAUAUUCUGGGUUUCCUAAACCAUUUCUGCUGUGGGACUCUUGACUGUAGGUUCCUUGGGGCAGGUUCUUUCUUCCAAGUCUUUCAAAUUGGGCACAGACCACCCAAUCCCUUGGCUUAUACGUAUGAACUCUGCACAGAUUUUCUUUGUUGGGAUCUCUUUAUCCCUUUGGGUGAUCUUUUGGGAUAAUGUCCCCUUUAACAUGGAUUUAGAGGAGUCCUUCUCUUGGACCAAGCAAAAACUCAUAUAUUCUUUCUUUCUUACAGAUGGAAGGGCAGCAGUCUACCAGUGUAGCUCUGAUUCUCUUUGCUACCCAAGACAAAACUUCAAGGCAUGUUAUAAAAAGAAAAAAGGAAGAACGUAGGAAGCCUUAUUAUCUUCUUUUAUUGACUUCACAUUGAAUAUGGUCAUUUGCAGACUUAUUUUGGAGUUUCUCCAUCUCAUAUUCCAAGGAUAGCCAAAUGACUUAAUACAAACGCUCCCGAAGUAUUAUUAGUCAUCGGUUUUGAAAUUUUCCUUUCAACAGUGUUCUAGACAAGUCAUUUAAUUUUCAUACUUUAAUUUUUUCAUUUUCUGAAUACUAGGACUAUGACUGUUUUUAUGGGACUAAGUGAAAGUCCAUCAAAUUUUAUUCAAAAUAGAUUUGAAUUUUUUAAAUGAAAGUAUGAAGACUAUAUUACAUACAGCAUUGUUUUAUGUAAUGACAAUAUAAGUUACUAUACUUGUCUAUUCCAGUGUGUAAAUCAUGUUGUCGUUUAUCUCAUCCCCUGCAAUGACUUGCUUGGAGGGAAGUAGGCAUUUUACUCAGCAUCUAGUCUUAUUCACAUUUUUGUGGACAGUCUGAAAGACCUAACACCCACCCAUCAUCCUACAUAUUGGUUUGUGUGGAAGCAUCUGUGUGAGAAGUAUGCUUUCUUUAUCAUGAUACAAAGAUUUAAGGUAGAAGGUGGAAUGUCAUAUGAUGUAAAUGUUAUCAUAUAGAUAAUGAUGUAAAGGUUCUGUGUAUUUCUUGAGAGAGAGAGAGAGUAGAGAGUGUGUGUGUGUGUGUGUGUGUGUGUGUGUUUUCUCACAUUUGAGUUUUGUCCCUGAACUUUCUUCAUUUCAUGUUACACACGAGCAAUCCUUUGUUCAAGGGAAGCUUGUCACUAUAUAACCAGGGAACAAAGGUAUCAAAUUUUGGCUUUUAAAUUCUAAAGCAAUGGUUCAGAUGUAAGACACCAAAAUUGGAAGGCUGUACAUCCAUACGGAACCACCUUUCCUCUCAGAAGAGAUGAAGAUCCUCUGAGUUUAGGAGGGGGAGGGAAAGUGAGAAGGAAUAGUAGAGUAAGACACUAAGAAAGGUCUUUUGGAAGGAGGUGGUGCUGGAAAACAGAUCUGGAAAACAGAAUUGCAGAGGGGAUUUCUUUUUGCAAUCUUGCCACUCUAGGAGCACAUUUCCUGAGAUGCUGCCCUGGGGAGAUAAAGAGGAAAGGAAGUGAAAGUGGAACAAACUGAGUUUGCUCUGCAGGGUUCAAGUUCAGCAUAAAUUAGAAAUUUUAUAUUUUACACUUCUAGAUGGAGUGGGACUUCCAGCUAAAGAGUGAAUGCACUUUUUAUAAAAUGUAAGAAGUGAGAUUUCUUGCACCCCUCUUUGGGUUUUACAUCCUGUGAAGACUUUAACUGUCAGAGUCAGUUUCAGAACAAAUAGCAAAGGUGACUCCUCGGGAUUUUUUUGCUUUUCUUUCCUGUCCUCUAAGGGACACUGUGCUUCUGAUUUUCUUCCACUGGCUCCUUUAGCUGUCAUAUUGAACCGAACACAGCUCACACAGCCAUCACCAUCACGGUAUCUUCUACCCCAUAUACAUAUGCAUACUAUGCGGCACCUUUCCUUUCUUGAUAAGCAAAAUCUGUUGACUUUUCUACUGUCCAAUUCUUAUAGGGCACAAUGAGGUAAUCUCAUAAACCAGGCAGGUUCAACUUGUGUCUUUCUGUAGUGACAUACAUGAGCAAUAAUGUAUUUUCAUAUCUGUCAUAAUAGCUCACUAGGUUAUGAUUCUUAGUUCUUAAGUUCAAGGGUAGGUCUGUCAAGCUUUAUGAUAUAGAUGUAGAAUGUAAUCUGGAGGGAAAAUAUUUCCACACUUGGUUUUGAUCUCACACACCACCACCAUGACCUCAAAUUUUUAGCAAGUCAUUUCUCAUUAUGUGCUACAUGGUGAACAAUUACAUACUGUGGAACAAUUAAUUCCUUGAACAUUUGCAUUUAAAUAGGGGAACUUUUAAAAGCUGUGUAAUUUGUGGGGAAAAAAAAGUUGUGAUUAUAUAUUAAAAAAAGACUUUGUUCAGUAAGGGGAAACAGAUAAAGGACUAAUGAUAAACUGAGAGAAGAAUUGUGUAACAUCUAAAAGUAAUAAGGACACUCCUUUCACUGUAACCUUUUCAAAAUUUUGGAUAUAUAUAUAUAUAUAUAUAUAUAUAUAUUUAUUUAUUUAUUUAUUUUUAAAGAUUUUACUUAUUUAUUCGUGAGAGACACAGAGCAAGACAGAGAGAGAGAGAGAGGGAGAGAGGCAGAGACACAGGCAGAGGGAGAAGCAGGCUCCAUGCAGAGAGCCCGACCUGGGACUCCAUCCCAGGUCUCCAGGAUCACAACCUGGGCUGAAGGUGGCGCUAAACCGCUGAGCCACCCUGCAUUCUUAUUUAAUACUUUAGUUAUGUACCUUCAGACAGUAUAUCAUUAUAUAUUCAAAUCUAUAUGGAUGGUAUAUACAUC